rnacentral:rRNA from 1 species
UACGUAGGGUGCGAGCGUUGUCCGGAAUUAUUGGGCGUAAAGAGCUCGUAGGCGGUCUGUCGCGUCUGCUGUGAAAACCCGCGGCUCAACCGUGUGGUCUGCAGUCGAUACGGGCAGGCUAGAGUUCGGUAGGGGAGACUGGAAUUCCUGGUGUAGCGGUGAAAUGCGCAGAUAUCAGGAGGAACACCGGUGGCGAAGGCGGGUCUCUGGGCCGAUACUGACGCUGAGGAGCGAAAGCGUGGGGAGCGAACAGG